ACACGUGAUCCCCGGAGUCCAGUUCAAGUAAUCAACUCAUUAGGGCCACUUUAAAUACUCUAGCUCCGCGACUCUAAUUAUCCGCAUACUAACUUUAUCUUUCUCAGUUAUCUAUUUGCUUUCAAGAAUGAACAUUUUACUGCUGCUUUCACAACUUUAUCGGCCUUGAAAAAAGGCCAAUGCAGCUCCUGCUAUUAAAUGUAAAACGUGGAGCUAUCGGCGGAUGAAAAAAUGCGGACGUUAAUACUGAGUUACUAUGAAUAAUUCGCAGCUCAUGACAGCGAUUGGAAUCGAGUUUGGUUCCAAAGCUAAUGCCCCGAUUGAUUAUUCGUCAAGAAUGUAUUGACUGGUGUCUAGAAAAUUAUGGGUGAAUGAAAUGAAAAAUGAUCUGAGCAUUAAAAACUUACUGCAUUGAAUGCUGAGUGGAUGACUGGUGUUCUGACGGGAG